rnacentral:rRNA from 1 species
AGGGGAAUGGAUGUCUAGCCAUGCGAGUCUUUGUAGCAAUACAAGGCAGACGGCUCAGUAACACGUAGUCAAUCUACCCUAUAGAUGGGGAUAACCUCGGGAAACUGAGAAUAAUACCCGAUAGGCCAUUAUGCCUGGAAUGGUUUAUGGCUCAAAUGAUUUAUCGCCAUAGGAUGGGACUGCGGCCUAUCAGUUUGUUGGUGAGGUAAUGGCCCACCAAGACUAUUACAGGUACGGGCUCUGAGAGGAGUAGCCCGGAGAUGGGUACUGAGACACGGACCCAGGCCCUAUGGGGCGCAGCAGGCGAGAAAACUUUGCAAUGUGCGAAAGCACGACAAGGUUAAUCCGAGUGGUUUCUGCUAAAGAAACCUUUUGCUAGUCCUAGAAACACUAGUGAAUAAGGGGUGGGCAAGUUCUGGUGUCAGCCGCCGCGGUAAAACCAGCACCUCAAGUGGUCAGGAUGAUUAUUGGGCCUAAAGCAUCCGUAGCUCGUUUUGUAAGUUUUCGGUUAAAUCCAUACGCUCAACGUAUGGGCUGCCGGGAAUACUGCAUAACUAGGAAGUGGGAGAGGUAGACGGUACUCGAUAGGAAGGGGUAAAAUCCUUUGAUCUAUUGAUGACCACCUGUGGCGAAGGCGGUCUACCAGAACACGUUCGACGGUGAGGGAUGAAAGCUGGGGGAGCAAACCGGAUUAGAUACCCGGGUAGUCCCAGCUGUAAACUAUGCAAACUCAGUGAUGCAUUGGCUUGUGGCCAAUGCAGUGCUGCAGGGAAGCCGUUAAGUUUGCCGCCUGGGAAGUACGUACGCAAGUAUGAAACUUAAAGGAAUUGGCGGGGGAGCACCACAAAGGGUGAAGCCUGCGGUUCAAUUGGAGUCAACGCCGGG